CACACCGGACGCUGAGGUGCGAAAGCGUGGGUAGCGAACGGGAUUAGAUACCCCGGUAGUCCACGCCGUAAACGAUGGAUACUAGGUGUAGGGGGGUCACUGAAUCCCUCUGGCGCGUAGCAAACGCGGUAAGUAUCCCGCCUGGGGACUACGGCCGCAAGGUUAAAACUCAAAGGAAUUGACGGGGGCCCGCACAAGCAGCGGAGCGUGUGGUUUAAUUCGAUGAUACGCGAAGAACCUUACCUGGGCUGAACUACGUGGUAGUAGAAAAGCGAAAGCGGAUCGACCCUUCGGGGAGCCUCGAUAGGUGCUGCAAGGCUGUCGUCAGCUCGUGUCGUGAGAUGUUGGGUUAAGUCCCGCAACGAGCGCAACCCUUGUCGUUAGUUAUACGUGUCUAGCGAGACUGCCGGUAUCAAACCGGAGGAAGGUGGGGAUGACGUCAAGUCAGCAUGGUCUUUAUGUCCAGGGCUACACACACGCUACAAUGGCCGGUACAACAGGUUGCUAUACCGCGAGGUGGAGCUAAUCCCUAAAGCCGGUCUCAGUUCGGAUUGCAGUCUGCAACUCGACUGCAUGAAGGUGGAGUUGCUAGUAACCGCGCGUCAGCAAUAGUGCGGUGAAUGCGUUCCCGGGCCUUGUACACACCGCCCGUCACAUCAUGGAAGUCGGUAACACCUGAAGUCGGUGACCUAACCGUAAGGAAGGAGCUGCCUAAGGU
rnacentral:rRNA from 1 species